rnacentral:ncRNA from 17 species
UACGUUCAUCCCACCCUCUCUUUCCGAUGGUGGGACGCAAGUAAGUCGCGGAACGGAGCGUUCAUCCUAUGUUAUCACUAGCUUUGAUUUUCUUUAGUCAUGUUCCUCCUGGGGAUUUCCUUAGGUGUGAAGACUAUCAAUGGUUGAAGCAGGGUCUAAAAGAGACAACUCUUUUCACUCCUGCUGAAAAAUCUGAUAUCUUAAUCCAUUGGAUUAAUCAUACAGACCCCCAUUGUUUUGAUAGCAAGGACGCAAACGACUGAAGGAACGGGGA